rnacentral:lncRNA from 1 species
UUUUUUUUUUUUUUUUUUUGUCCCACUUCCCUAUCUCAUGCUGGGAUUUUGUCUGGUUUGCUGAGGUGCCUGUGAGCUCUUCUGUGUAGCAUCCUGCUGUGUUUGGGAGGCUCUACUUCUGGAUUCAUUCUCUACUUCUGGCUCUUAGGAUCUUCCCACCUUUUCUUCCUUUAUAGAUUUCUUGUGAGAAGGGUUUGAGUUAGACAUUCCUUUUUGGACUCGGAUACGUGCUCCAAACCCUCUUACACUUCAGGCCGUCCCGCUGUGGUCCCAGGGUUAAUUACUGUCUGCUGACAGAAGCUUCUCUGAGUUGAGCCAAUGUCCCUACCUGGUGUGGCCACUGUGAGUCAUAGACUCACAGAGACUGGCUCUGAGGGUCUGGCAGGAAGGAGGCAGAAAGCAUGGAGAUGUCCUAGAAGAAAGGAACCAGGAGAAGCCUAGGUCUGUCCAGGAGGCUGCAAGGCAGCCUCCUCAAGAAUGGUCUGUUGACACCAAGUUUUUAGUUGGUUUGCCUUCAGGGCUCAGAACACUAAAUUGUGUAGCUUCUAUUGAGCAUACUUUCUCAUUUUGCUAAUUAUUAGACCUCAAAAUGACGACAGACUUUCUGUAAUUAAAAACAUCUAAUAUGUUAAAUAUAUGUUAAAUAUAUGGAUACUAAUAGUUGGUUAUCUCUUGUGGGCUAAUUUUUGCUUUUGAACCGUUACAGUUAAAUGUGCCUUAAGUGGUUGUUGCUAAGUUAGUACUAAGGAAGAUGUUUACUUGCUUUUCAGUCCUCUCUCAGGACCUUCAGUCUUCAGCUGUUUGUCUUCCCAAGGAAUACAUUUCUGACUGCUAAGGAAAAUAAUUGAGCCUUUUAAUAAUACAAUUCUCAUAAUUUCUGUUUUGAAAGAGUUAAAGCUUUUAUCGGGUGGUGGUGGUGCACUCCUUUAAUCCCAGCACUCCAAGAUGCAAUCAGGUACAGGUGGAUCUGUGAGUUCAAGGCCAGCCUGGACUACAGAGUGAAUUCCAGAAACCCAGGGCUAUACAGGGAAACCUGUCUCAAAAAACUAACCAAUCAACCAACCAACCAACCAACCAACCAACCAACCAGAUAAACUUGUAAAAGUAAAGGAAAUGACAAUAAAUCUCAGCAGGAUAUUUAUGUAGAACUGCCUUUUGUAGUCUAUAAAUUGUUUUAUUUUACUUUAAAGAAAUAUUAUUUAAUGUAUAUGAGUACACCAUUGCUCUCUUCAGAGACAGCAGAAGAGGGCGUUGGAUGGCAUUGCAGAUGGUUGUGAGCUACCAUGUGGUAGCUGGGAAUUGAACUCAUGACCUCUGGAAGAACAGUCAGUGCUCUUGCUCUUAAAAGAGCAGUCAGUGCUCUUAACUGUUAAGCCCUCUCUCCAGUCCUUAUUUCACUUUUUUUGAGACAGGGUAAUGGUUUGUAUUCCCGCCAGGCCUAGUACUCAUGUAUAGUCUAGCUUGGGCUCAAACUCACAAGAUAUCUAUCCUCCAGCCUCAGCCUCCCAAAUGCUGGCAUGGGAUUGAGCCAUAUUAUCCCUGGCUUACUAUAAAUAAACUCCUAUUGUUACUCAUCCUUGCAAUAGGAGUUCUGUUAUUCUGUGUAAGAGUGAGUUAUGAUCCACAUUUUGGUAGGGGAUAAAAAUUUUACCUUUUUUGUUAGAUUACCUAGACUUUGUCAGAUAUGUCUUCGUUCUCUUGAUAGUUGAGUACCUAAAUAGUGUGUAGUUUGAAUUUUAGGUCAGGUAUGGUAGUGCAUGCCUCCAAUUGCAGCAGAGGCAGGAAGACCACUGACUUAAGGUCUAUAUACAUAGCAUUCCAGGUCAGUCAGGGCUACACAGUGAGAUUCUGUUUCAAAAACAAGAACC